UACGAAGGACCCAAGCGUUAUCCGGAUUUAUUGGGUUUAAAGGGUGCGUAGGCGGAUUAUUAAGUCAGUGGUGAAAGCCUGCAGCUUAACUGCAGAACUGCCAUUGAUACUGAUGAUCUUGAGUAUGAUUGAGGUGGGCGGAAUGUGUCAUGUAGCGGUGAAAUGCUUAGAUAUGACACAGAACACCGAUUGCGAAGGCAGCUCACUAAGCCAUAACUGACGCUGAUGCACGAAAGCGUGGGGAGCAAACAGG
rnacentral:rRNA from 1 species